GAUGAAGAACGUAGCGAAAUGCGAUAAGUAAUGUGAAUUGCAGAAUUCAGUGAAUCAUCGAAUCUUUGAACGCACCUUGCGCUCCUUGGUAUUCCGAGGAGCAUGCCUGUUUGAGUGUCAUUAAAUUCUCAACCUCACCAGUUUUGUAACGAGACAGGUGAAGGCUUGGAUGUGGGGGUUUUGCAGGCUGCCUCAGUGCUGGUCUGCUCUCCUGAAAUGCAUUAGCGAGCUCAUAUUGAGCUUCCGUCUAUUGGUGUGAUAAUUAUCUACGCCGUGGAUUGGACUCAUGCUUGCCUCUAACCGUCCGCAAGGACAAUUUACUUGACCAAUUUGACCUCAAAUCAGGUAGGACUACCCGCUGAACUUAAGCAUAUCAAUAAGCGGAGGA
rnacentral:misc_RNA from 1 species